rnacentral:rRNA from 1 species
GAUGAACGCUGGCGGCAUGCCUAAUACAUGCAAGUCGAGCGAACGGACGAGAAGCUCGCGUCUCUGAGGUUAGCGGCGGGCGGGCGAGUAACACGUGGGUAACCUACCUAUAAGACAGGGAGAACUACGGGAAACCGGAGCGAAUAACGGAUGAUAGUCUGAACCGCAGGGUUCAAAAGUGAAAGACAGUCUUGCUGUGACUUAGAGAGGGAUCCGCGCUGCAUUAGCUAGUUGGGAAGGUAACGGCUUACCAAGGCAACGAUGCAUUGCCGACCUGGGGGGGUGAUCGGCCCCACUGGAACUGAGCCACGGUCCAGACUCCUACGGGACGCAGCAGUAGAGAGUCUUCCGCUAUGGGCGAGAGCCUGACGGAGCCCCGCCGCGUGAGUUAUGAAGGUCUUCCGCUCGUAGUUCUCUGUUAUUAGUAAACGACAUAUGCGUGAGUAACUGGGCCCAUAUUGCCGGUACCUAAUCAGAAAGCCCCGGCUAACUCCGUG